GUGGGGAAUCUUCCGCAAUGGACGAAAGUCUGACGGAGCGACGCCGCGUGAGUGAAGAAGGCCUUCGGGUCGUAAUGCUCUGUCAUCAGGGACGAACGGCCGGUGGAGUGGAAAGCCACCGGAUUGACGGUACCUGAGAAGGAAGCCACGGCUAACUACGUGCCAGCAGCCGCGGUAAUACGUAGGUGGCAAGCGUUGUCCGGAAUUAUUGGGCGUAAAGCGCGCGCAGGUGGGAUCUUAAGUCCAUUUUUAAAGUUCGGAGCUCAACUCCGUGAUGGGAUGGAAACUGGGAUUCUUGAGUACCGGAGAGGAAAGCGGAAUUCCCCGUGUAGCGGUGAAAUGCGUAGAUAUGGGGAGGAACACCAGUGGCGAAGGCGGCUUUCUGGACUGUGUCUGACGCUGAGAUGCGAAAGCCAGGGUAGCGAACGGGAUUAGAAACCCUUGUAGUCC
rnacentral:rRNA from 1 species